UAAAUAUUGUUCUUCAGUUCAGACAGGAUUGAAGCCAACGCUGUCACUCAUCUCCCUCUUUCUGACACUCAGUGGGCGGAACCACGGUGACUUCAGCUAGCGGUGACAUCACGUGCAUACCCUCUAAAAUACCAACAAAACCACAUUUUUUGGAAUUUGAGUGGUAAGCUCAGAACUUGUUAGCCAUUCCAUGAUAAUGCCCAAAGGGGUUCUUUAAAUCCAGUACCAAACUACCACCAACUUAUAUAAAGAGUCUGGUCGUGCCUGUACUUACGUUAUAGAGCUGGAUGUGAUUAGUGCUCGGUCCACACUAACACAGAUAGUUUUCUAAAUGUAGAUUUUCUUCCUUCUGUUUUAUAAAAAAACUUCUGUCUACACAACCUUUUUACAAAAUGCUUUUGUCCACAGAACAACAUAAAAACAGCUCCAAGCUGGUGCAGACACUCACACAAACCAUCAUUUCUGGCAAACUUAAAACUAUGGACACUGCAGUUUAAGGUUGUUGAAAUGUAGUCUGUACAUUACGUGGAGUUGCCCAUAACACCGGUCCGCCUCCCAAAGGUAUCCAUGCUGACUGGGAUCUACUACAGGUCAUACACAGAUUUUUCCCAUUUUCCCAUUGGAAAGCAUUUUUAAAUAUCAGAAUUUUUAAACUCUGUAUUUAAAAAUGAGAAAACCAGAAGAAGAGAAAAAAAUAUUCAUUUUGCAAAAUAUCCUGUUUAGUGUGGACAGAGAACAGAUGAUCUUAGCAUGAAGACUUCAAACCAGUGGAAGCAGCUCAUCAGUCAGGGUCAAAGUGGAUGUGCUCAAGUGGUCCAAGUUGGAGUACUUACAGUUUUGGACAGAGCUGGGUUCUGACCCCUGUGUGUGUUUUUAUGCUGAACUACACCAGUAUCCCCAUUUGAAUACUUGUGUUUGUGCACUUCUGGCCCAUGUGACUACAUGAUGCACUCAGUGUACAUGUGUAGUACAGACCUGUGCAUCCAGGUAGACGACUGUCACCUGCUGGAAUAUCUGCCGGCUAAAGCUGACAGAGCCACAGAUAGUCAUUCUUCCUUCUCUACUGUUUUCCCAGACUGAGUGGACCUUCCCUGUCUUCUGUAGCAUUACAGCCCACUUGUCCUUACAGUAUUUUAUAAAAUUCUGAACUCAUGUCAAAGUGUAAAAAGACUAAUAUUACCACUGUUACACUUACCAUUACCACUAACAUUAGUAGAAUUGUUUUAUUUAGUCUAAUGCAUUACACAUAUUUAGCCACUUGUUAAAUAGAUGCUAAUAGAAUAUUGUGCUAUAGAAAAUUAGCAUGAACUAAUUGCUGAUAGAGACAGUACUUCUAAAUAUCUAAAAUUAUUGUUUAAAUUGUCUGCAAAUCCUAAAGAAUGCAUGACAUGAACUUUUUACAGUUUCACAACUUGUAACCAUGACAUAUGGUCCAACCAAAGUACGGCACAUGUAUUGACAAUGACAGGGGGUUUUGGAGGCUGUCCGAUGAAAUGACUGACAGUCUAACUAGCAUCAGCACCAUCAGCUGUGUGAUUCACAUCAUUGCUUUAGUUACCACAGUGAUUAUUGGCAUGGUGACUGUCAUAAUGACUGGCACCCUGUAGUUUUAUGAAGUUGUCCUCAUGAUUAUGAAUCAGUACACACAAUAGCACAAGCACAAACAUAUGUAAUCUGUGAUCAGUGGUGAUCACGUCAGACACAGGGUUUUAUUUAUCAUUACUUGUUUCAGUGUUUGUCACAGAUAUUGCUUGGAAAGUGCAAAACAUCAGCAAAGGUGUGAAGGAAGUUGCUGCAGCUCUAGUUUUAUUACUUGGCUUUAUAAACUUGAACAGUGCAUACCAAGGCAGACUUCCAAAAGUGGACGAAGGAAAGUCAGCUCUUAAUCUAUAGCAAUAUGUAAUAUCAACAGAAUAAAACUUCCCUAAAGCUGUGAAGCUGCUUUUAAACUGUGCUGAUUUCCACCAUGGUUCCAGUCGUGGUUUGGUUGGUAUAUACAAAUCUAUAUUUCAGUCGAAUUGGACAGUGUGUUAUUAUUGUAUUCUCUCUUGCCUAUAAUUAUCAGUAAGAUGAUUAGGACAUAAUGUAGUUUAGGGGGGCUGUACAUAUAUGUUUGACCUGAAAAAAAAAAAAAAAGAUUAACCUUAAGGAAGCUUUCAAUG